AAAUCCUUUGAUUAAAGCUUUAGAAAAUACUGCGUCCUCAAAAUUAAUUGAGCAUCAAGCUACCAAAUUUGCCCCUUUGGUUGGAAGUUUCUAAAAACUUCACCGAAUCCUUGAUGAUUUAUAAAUCUAUUUACUGUGGAGUGUGAAUCUUAACUCAUAUCAGAAGCCCUCAUGCAGUUACCGAAAGUAAGGUUUUGUUGUUGGGCUGUAAUAUAUCUUGUUACUUUAAGUAGCUUUUCCCUCCAAG
rnacentral:misc_RNA from 1 species